GACGAACGCUGGCGGCGUGCUUAACACAUGCAAGUCGAACGAAGUGGCGAACGGGUGAGUAACGCGUAAUCCACCUGCCCUUCAGUGGGGGACAACAGUUGGAAACGACUGCUAAUACCGCAUACUGAAGGAGGGGAUUGCGUCUGCUUAGCUAGUUGGAGGGGUAACGGCCAACAAAGGAGAUGAUCAGUAGCAGGGGUGAGAGGAUGAACGGCCAGAUGGGGACUGGGAGGCGGCAGAGACUGAUACGGGAGCCAGCAGUGGGGAAUCGGCCGCAAGGGACGAAAGUCUGACGGAGCAACGCCGGGUGAGUGAUGACGGCCUGCGGGUGGUAAAGGGCUGUUAAUCGGGACGCGGUACCGGAAUAGAAAGCCACGGCUAACUACGUGCCAGAAGCCGCGGUAAUUC
rnacentral:rRNA from 1 species